UAGGGGGAGCGAUUAAAGUUUUGAAAAGCUGUUUCUGCUCUUAGUUUAUUACUGAUUCUCCUGUGACCUUAGAAAAUGCUUAACCUGGUUUGGGGGCUCCCCCCUUGCAAGUGUAUUUAAAAGGCUAAUAGCAAAACUGAGUUCAUUAUCUGGCUUGUGAUCAGUUAGCAAAGUGACAGCUCAGCUGCUGAAAAUCUGGGUUACUGCUGCCAAAGCAGCAGCAGCAAAUGCCUGGAGUUGGUGACAGAGCUUUGCUCAAGGUGUGGCAGGGGAAGUCAGGGUGGUUCUUGGUGCUGUGUACAGGUAAGUAACAAGUCUCCUCCCCAGAAGUUCCUCUCCAGCUGUUGAGACAGAUGAGAAGUGCCUGGUUAGAGAAUAUAGAUACUAAUCUUUUGUAAGAUUACAGAGUAUGGAGAUUCUCUGGUGGAGGGUGCACAGUGUAUCAGAGCACUAUGAAACCUUUCCAGAUCUCAAGACUGCAUCAUGUAGGAGAUGCAUCAGUUUAUGCAACAGCCAGUUUAACAGGCCUGUAAUGCAUCAGCUGCACUUGCUAUGUGUCACUUAACUCUACACAGCAGUGUGUAGAAUUGUUUGAAGUGAUGGAUUUGAAGGCCUAAGUCUGAAUACAAUCUCUGUGGUGCUGCAGUGUGAAGGCAAGCCUAUGCAAAUGGUACAGGUUACUAAAAGCUCUGAAGAAACAAUAUUUUGCUAAAACUAUUCAGAUUAAAAAUGCUGGAACAAGAACAAUCCAACACUCAGUGAAACCUGAGUUCUCCCUACUCUGCCUUUCCAAAAAAGUGGAGGACCCUUUGCUUCCUCUCCAGUGUUAACACCAGAUAGUGGGAGGCAGUUAUUGGCAACACUUAACUUUUUGGGGGGAAAUUAUCCUACAACAGAAAAUAUCUGUCAUUUCCACCCAUGUAUAGAAAUACUGAAAUUCAUCCUUAGGCAUCAAGGAAAGCAGCUCAGAAUCAUUUUCCUAGCAGAUUUCUCUCCCAUUUUAGGAUAAAGGCAGUGUUUGCUCCCUUGCUGUGCUGGCAGGUCCAUCGUCAGCUGCCAGAGGAUUAAACAGGCCCAGGCUGCAGCCAGGGAGGAAUGGAUGUUUUAGCCACAUCCAAAAAUGUGGCACAACAGUGACCUGUACAUUUAGGAAUGAGGUCCUUUGGAUGUUGAGCCUGCCAUGGUGAAGCUGUAGGGGGAGUCUUAAACCCUGAGAGAUGGAAAUACUGCCAUAGAGACAGGGGCAGGAAAGAGCUGUUAAAACAAUUCCACCAAUAGGUCUGAGUCCUGGCCUCAGGGAAAAAAAAAAAAAAGAAAGCCAUAAAGUAGUUUAAAACUCAUUAUUACAGAAAAUUACCUUUUAAUUCUGUAAAUUCACUAUCAUGGAUGUCAAAACAUGAAUGUGAGGAUGAAGAUACUUCAGAAGACAUUGGUAUGUCUGCCAUGCAACUUCAAUUGAGUGAUGAUAGUCCUUGCACAUUAUAUUUCCUUCCAAUCAGACAUUAAUGUGAAAAAUAGUUAAUUGAUCCAGUUUCAGACUAAACCAGCCAGGGUUAACUUAGUCCCAUGGCAGCAAGGGGCUUCUGCAUCUCCUCAUACAAUAAAGUCAGGCACCACAGCUCUUCAGACUACCAUUACACAACUGUAACAUUUUCUUCUAUCACAGAUUAUUUACUAGGACUAGGAUUACUGAGAAUUUUAAGGAAAAUUUUUCAUAAUUAGGCAUUUUGCUUUCUUGUUUAGGCCUUGGUAUGCAGAAAAAUAGUAUUUUAAGACCUGUAAAAGUUUUUCAAAGUUAGUUUGCCUGUAAGUUCAUGUCUUAUUUCUAUCACACAGGGAGAGAAGGAAAACACACCCUAUCACAACUCUGGACAGUUUUCUGCUUUUGCAUUUUUCUCCCCUUGUAUAACAGCUUUUUAGAUAACCUCAUAUGUAGC